rnacentral:rRNA from 1 species
UACACUCCUGCGGGAGGCAGCAGUGGGGAAUUUUGGACAAUGGGCGCAAGCCUGAUCCAGCCAUGCCGCGUGCGGGAAGAAGGCCUUCGGGUUGUAAACCGCUUUUGUCAGGGAAGAAAAGGUUCUGGCUAAUACCUGGGACUCAUGACGGUACCUGAAGAAUAAGCACCGGCUAACUACGUGCCAGCAGCCGCGGUAAUACGUAGGGUGCAAGCGCUAAUCGGAAUUACUGGGCGUAAAGCGUGCGCAGGCGGUUAUGCAAGACAGAGGUGAAAUCCCCGGGCUCAACCUGGGAACUGCCUUUGUGACUGCAUGGCUAGAGUACGGUAGAGGGGGAUGGAAUUCCGCGUGUAGCAGUGAAAUGCGUAGAUAUGCGGAGGAACACCGAUGGCGAAGGCAAUCCCCUGGACCUGUACUGACGCUCAUGCACGAAAGCGUGGGGAGCAAACAGGAUUAGAUACCCGGGUAGUCCCA